GGUUAAGACAACAUUAAAUAAAUAGAUAUAUAGGUAGAUGAGAAGCACUCGGAUUGUGCAAAUAACCAAAAAUGAAUGGGAAGUGCAAGUUCUGUUUGAAAAUAAUAAAGGCACGCAUUGCUCUUAUUACAAUCAUCUUAUAUAAAAAAGAUGCUUCUGCUUGCGCUAAUUCAUAAUCUGAUGAAUAGGACACAACCUGAUCCUUAUUGAGGCAGUAUCAAUGUCAAUAGUGUACUUAUCCUAGAAUCAGUUGGAAUCGAUCACACCUUGCACUAGAAUUGUGCUAGUUCUGGAUAGCCACACUGCCACAGUGCAUUCUUAUUGCAAUUCAAAAUCUUGCUCUUCUUAAUUUUGGGUGAACAUUCUAUAUAUUGUCAUGUGUUCUCUGCAGAACCUCCUG
rnacentral:misc_RNA from 1 species